rnacentral:rRNA from 1 species
GACGAACGCUGGCGGCGUGCUUAAUACAUGCAAGUCGAACGGUGGUAGCGAUACCAUAGUGGCGCACGGGUGCGUAACACGUAUGCAACCUACCUUAUACUUAGGGAUAGCCUCUGGAAACGGAGAUUAAUACCUAAUAGUACAUUGACUUGGCAUCGGGUUAAUGUUAAAGAUUUAUUGGUAUAAGAUGGGCAUGCGUCCAAUUAGUUAGUUGGUGAGGUAACGGCUCACCAAGACGAUGAUUGGUAGGGGAACUGAGAGGUUAAUCCCCCACACUGGCACUGAGAUACGGGCCAGACUCCUACGGGAGGCAGCAGUAGGGAAUAUUGGGCAAUGGAGGCAACUCUGACCCAGCCAUGCCGCGUGCAGGAUGAAGGCGUUAUGCGUUGUAAACUGCUUUUAUAUAGGAAGAAACAGACCUUGCGAGGUAGAUUGACGGUACUAUAUGAAUAAGCACCGGCUAACUCCGUGCCAGCCGCCGCAGUAAUAC